AACGAACGCUGGCGGCAUGCCUAACACAUGCAAGUCGAACGGGACAGGCGGGUCUAGUGGCGCACGGGUGCGUGACGAGGGGGAAGCUGCCCGUAGGCUCGGAAUCACUCCCCGUAAGGGGUGCGAUUGCCGGGUAGUCUCAUCGUACCAAAGAGUUAUCGCCGUUUGAUGGGCCGCCGUAGGGAAUGUCGGUUGGUGGUGUGCUAGCCGCCUAUGAGCUUGUUGGAGAGGUAGUGGCUCAGCAAGGCCAGGACGGGUAGCACGGCUGAGAGGGUCACCCGACACACUGGGACGGAGAUACGGCCCAGACUCCUACGGGAGGCAGCAGUGGGGAAGAUUGUACAAUGGGAGAAAGCCUGACGCAGCAACGCCGCGUGGGGGACGACGGCAUUCGGGUUGGAAACCACUUUUAGCAGGGAAGAAGCGAAAGUGACGGUACCUGCAGAAAAAGCGCCGGCUAACUACGUG
rnacentral:rRNA from 1 species